rnacentral:lncRNA from 1 species
UAUGCCUUAGUAGGGGCAUUGUCAUGUCUCUCUACAAGUUGCCUUCCCCGUGGAAUAUUGGCUACAUAGGGAAAAGAGAGCUUAAAAAAAAUAAAAUAUUCAUAAUGAGUUUAGGCUUUCAAAUUACCGAAUAGAAUAGUAACUUAUUCUAAAGAUACCUAACCUUAGGCCUCAAUUGUAUGGGAUGUUCCUAGAAUCUGCU